AAGGAUUUAGGUUAAAUUAAACUUGUAGCCUUCAAAGCUUCCAAUAAAGAUCAUCUUUAAGCCUUA
rnacentral:tRNA from 1 species